GACGAACGCUGGCGGCGUGCUUAACACAUGCAAGUCGAACGGUGAAGCGCCUUCCUUUUUGGUGGGUGUGGAUGAGUGGCGAACGGGUGAGUAACACGUGAGUAACCUGCCCCCUUCUUCUGGAUAACCGCAUGAAAGUGUGGCUAAUACGGGAUAUUCUGGGUCUGUCGCAUGAUGGGUCUGGGAAAGAUAUUGUUUCGGUGGGGGAUGGGCUCGCGGCCUAUCAGCUUGUUGGUGGGGUGAUGGCCUACCAAGGCGGUGACGGGUAGCCGGCCUGAGAGUGUGUACGGUCACACUGGGACUGAGCCACGGCCCAGACUCCUACGAGAGGCAGCAGUGGGGAAUAUUGCACAAUGGGCGCAAGCCUGAUGCAGCGACGCCGCGUGAGGGAUGGAGGCCUUCGGGUUGUGAACCUCUUUCGCCAGUGAAGCAGGCCUGCCUCGUUUGUGGGUGGGUUGACGGUAGCUGGAUAAGAAGCGCCGGCUAACUACGUG
rnacentral:rRNA from 1 species